rnacentral:tRNA from 1 species
GGGCAAGGUCGUGGAGACGCCUCGAAAGAGAACAUGCCGGGUUCGACUCCCGGCUUGCCCGCCA